AUUGAACGCUGGCGGCAUGCUUUACACAUGCAAGUCGGACGGCAGCACAGAGAAGCUUGCUUCUUGGGUGGCGAGUGGCGAACGGGUGAGUAACAUAUCGGAACGUACCGAGCAGUGGGGGAUAACUAAUCGAAAGAUUAGCUAAUACCGCAUAUAUUCUGAGGAAGAAAGCAGGGGACCAUUUGGCCUUGCGCUGUUUGAGCGGCCGAUAUCUGAUUAGCUAGUUGGUGGGGUAAAGGCCUACCAAGGCGACGAUCAGUAGCGGGUCUGAGAGGAUGAUCCGCCACACUGGGACUGAGACACGGCCCAGACUCCUACGGGAGGCAGCAGUGGGGAAUUUUGGACAAUGGGCGCAAGCCUGAUCCAGCCAUGCCGCGUGUCUGAAGAAGGCCUUCGGGUUGUAAAGGACUUUUGUCAGGGAAGAAAAGGGCGGGGUUAAUACCCCUGUCUGAUGACGGUACCUGAAGAAUAAGCCCGGU
rnacentral:rRNA from 1 species